CGUCGAUAUGGCAGCUAUGGUGGCUCUCUCACCCGAGGAGGGGGAGGAGGGGAGGAGAGGCGGAAAGAGAAAGAAGUUGCCCCCUCCGCCGAGUUGCAGCUCUCAAGAUUAUGUUCUGCAUCUGGAGGGCUGAUGAAAUCUUCUUACGUAUGAAAACUUCACAACAGUCCUUUAUGUGUGCUGGUGUGGAAUUUAGCAAUGUCUUUUGGCUUCUGAAUAAAUAGGCCCCAAACUAA